rnacentral:rRNA from 1 species
GAUGAACGCUGGCGGCGUGCCUAAUACAUGCAAGUCGAGCGAACAGACGAGGAGCUUGCUCCUCUGACUUUAGCGGCGGACGGGUGAGAAACACGUGGAUAACCUACCUAUAAGACUGGGAUAACUUCGGGAAACCGGAGCUAAUACCGGAUAAUAUAUUGAACCGCAUGGUUCAAUAGUGAAAGACGGUUUUGCUGUCACUUAUAGAUGGAUCCGCGCCGCAUUAGCUAGUUGGUAAGGUAACGGCUUACUAAGGCAACGAUGCGUAGCCGACCUGAGAGAGUGAUAGCCGACAUUGGAACUGAGCCGCGGUCAAGACGACUGCGAGAGGCCGCAGUAGCGUAUGGUCGGCAAUGGGGGGAAGCCUGACAGAGUGACGCCGAGUGAGUUGUGACGGCGUCGCGAGCGUAAAACUCGGUUAUUAGUUGAGAACAAAUGUGUGAGGAACUAUAGAGAUCGUGACGGUACCUAAACAGAAAGCGACGGCUAACUACGUG